UACGGAGGGUGCGAGCGUUAAUCGGAAUUACUGGGCGUAAAGCGUGCGUAGGCGGCCUGUUGAGCCAGAUGUGAAAGCCCCGGGCUCAACCUGGGAACGGCAUUUGGGACUGGCAGGCUAGAGUUGGGCAGAGGGGGGCGGAAUUCCGGGUGUAGCGGUGAAAUGCGUAGAUAUCCGGAGGAACACCAGUGGCGAAGGCGGCCCCCUGGGCCCAAACUGACGCUGAGGCACGAAAGCGUGGGUAGCAAACAGG
rnacentral:rRNA from 1 species